GUUGUACUGCACUGUUGUGCCGAUAGGGGGAGACACUGCUGAUUAAAAAAGUACAGCACUGAAUUCUCGCGAGAGAAAACACCCAGUUCUCAUAUCCGUGUAUAUCGAAGUAGACGUGCGGUUUCGGCAACGAGUAAAUAAUGUGCCAUUAAAAGCGCAAAGUGCAACCGUUGGGCUACAAGACUAAAUUUACCAUUUAAGUUAACAAGGGGCAAGUUACUAUAUGUACAGUAUCCCACAAAAAUCAUCAGAGAGUUCUUUGCCAUGAGGUGCCAUGUUGAACUUCCAGUGACCAGUAUGAGGGAGUGUGAGAGCGAUGACACCAAAUUUAACACACCUUGUAACACUAACAAGUCACAUGACACCGGGGAGGGAAAAUGGAUAAUUGGACCCAAUUUGGACAUUUUCACUUAGGGGUGUACUCACUUUUGUUGUACACUCACUACUUUACAUUGUAGCAAAGUGUAAUUUCUUCAGUGUUGUCACAUUAAAAGGUAUGAUCAAAUAUUUACAAAAAUGUGAGGAGUGUACUCACUUUUGUGAGAUACUGUAUAUAGUAAUACUUAGUGGAGAAGCCUGUGUUUGUAAUAACAGCUUCAAGAUGCUUCCUGUAUGAAGAAAUUAAAUGGGCCGCAGUAUUCAGGUGUGAUUUUGGCCCAUUCUUGUAAAAAUAUUGUCUUUAAAUCUUGUUCAAUUGGAUUCAAGUCAGGUGAUUGACUGGGCCAUUCUAAUACCUUGAUUUUUUUUUCUCUGAAACCAACUGAGAAUUUCCUUUGCUGUAUGUUUUGCAUCGUUGUCCUGCUGGAAGGUCCACCCACGUCUCAUUUGCAUCAUCCUGGUGGAUUAAUCUCCCAGUAAAAGGCUCCAUUAAUCGUUCCUUCAAUUAUAUGAAGUCUGCCAGUACCAUACGAUGAAAAACAGCCCCACACCAUGAUGCUUCCACCUCCAAACUUCACUGUUGGUAUAGUGUUUAUAGGGUGAUGUGCAGUGCCAUUUCUUCUCCAAACAUGGUGUGUAGUAUGACAGACA